rnacentral:rRNA from 1 species
GCUAAUUCUAUUAAAGAGUUCUUAUCAUCAAUAGAGAUUGGCACCUCGAUGUUGGCUUAAGAAAUCUAGUUAGUGUAAAAGUUAUCUAAGACGGUUUGUUCAACCAUUAAAUUCCUACAUGAGCUGAGUUCAGACCGGCGCAAGCCAGGUUAGUUUCUAUCCGCAGCUACUGCACAUAAACUUAUCUACAGUACGAAAGGACCGAGAAUAAGAAUAAUUUAUUGUAUAAGGCUAUAUCUAACUUUAAUAAACCCCUAUAAAUUUUCACAAACCUA